UCAACCAAUCAUGCUAUGUAUA
rnacentral:siRNA from 1 species